rnacentral:rRNA from 1 species
GAUGAACGCUGGCGGCGUGCCUAAUACAUGCAAGUCGAGCGAACAGAUGAGGAGCUUGCUCCUCUGACGUUAGCGGCGGACGGGUGAGUAACACGUGGAUAACCUACCUAUAAGACUGGGAUAACUUCGGGAAACCGGAGCUAAUACCGGAUAAUAUAUUGAACCGCAUGGUUCAAUAGUGAAAGACGGUUUUGCUGUCACUUAUAGAUGGAUCCGCGCCGCAUUAGCUAGUUGGUAAGGUAACGGCUUACCAAGGCAACGAUGCGUAGCCGACCUGAGAGGGUGAUCGGCCACACUGGAACUGAGACACGGUCCAGACUCCUACGGGAGGCAGCAGUAGGGAAUCUUCCGCAAUGGGCGAAAGCCUGACGGAGCAACGCCGCGUGAGUGAUGAAGGUCUUCGGAUCGUAAAACUCUGUUAUUAGGGAAGAACAAAUGUGUAAGUAACUAUGCACGUCUUGACGGUACCUAAUCAGAAAGCCACGGCUAACUACGCG